AUUGAACGCUGGCGGCAUGCCUUACACAUGCAAGUCGAACGGCAGCACGGGUGCUUGCACCUGGUGGCGAGUGGCGAACGGGUGAGUAAUACAUCGGAACAUGUCCUGUAGUGGGGGAUAGCCCGGCGAAAGCCGGAUUAAUACCGCAUACGAUCUACGGAUUAAAGCGGGGGACCUUCGGGCCUCGCGCUAUAGGGUUGGCCGAUGGCUGAUUAGCUAGUUGGUGGGGUAAAGGCCUACCAAGGCGACGAUCAGUAGCUGGUCUGAGAGGACGACCAGCCACACUGGGACUGAGACACGGCCCAGACUCCUACGGGAGGCAGCAGUGGGGAAUUUUGGACAAUGGGCGAAAGCCUGAUCCAGCAAUGCCGCGUGUGUGAAGAAGGCCUUCGGGUUGCAAAGCACUUUUGUCCGGAAAGAAAUCCUUGGCCCUAAUACGGUCGGGGGAUGACGGUACCGGAAGAAUAAGCACCGGCUAACUACGUG
rnacentral:rRNA from 1 species